rnacentral:rRNA from 1 species
GACGAACGCUGGCGGCGUGCUUAACACAUGCAAGUCGAACGGAAAGGCCUCUUUCGGGGGGUACUCGCGUGGCGAACGGGUGAGUAACACGUGAGUAACCUGCCCUUGACUUUGGGAUAACUUCAGGAAACUGGGGCGAAUACCGGAUAGGAGCUCCUGCUGCAUGGUGGGGGUUGGAAAGUUUCGGCGGUUGGGGAUGGACUCGCGGCUUAUCAGCUUGUUGGUGGGGUAGUGGCUUACCAAGGCUUUGACGGGUAGCCGGCCUGAGAGGGUGACCGGCCACCUUGGGACUGAGAUACGGCCCAGACUCCUACGGGAGGCAGCAGUGGGGAAUAUUGCACAAUGGGUGGAAGCCUGAUGCAGCAACGCCGUGUGCGGGAUGACGGCCUUCGGGUUGUAAACCGCUUUCGCUCAUGACGAAGCUUUGUGUGACGGUAGUGGGUAAAGAAGCACCGGCUAACUACGUG